GCCGCUCAAUCAUUCAAGUUAGAGUCACAGGGCGAAGUGGACGUGUCGACGGAUAUGGAAUUUUUUUUUGGUUCAGAUGGUAUAUUCAAAUAGUUGCAUUGCCAAUGUUGCAGUUGGCUAUAGCUUAAGGAAAGUGUGUUGUAAAACAAAAAAAACAACAACCUAAUGCAAAUGUGUCGCAAGUGUAGGAGAAGUGAAAUUUAGCAGCUUCUUAGCAAUUUUCAAUUUUCAGCAAACAAAAGUGUGCAGCUCUUGUGCAAGGAAGGCUCUAGCAUUCAACACAACUAAUUCAAUUCAUAAAAUAGCAUUAAAGUCAAGUCUUGUGCAUCACAAAAUUAUAAAAAAAAACAACAACAACAAUUACGUUUUAACAUCGUCACAACAUAAUGAAGUGCAUAAAUUCUCAUUAUACGAUAAUAUUUGUUGUUUAAGUGUCUGUAAAAUAAAAAAAAAAAUAAGAAAACGCAUAGCCAAGUGGAGCCACACGCAGCCCGAAGCGACCUAAAAAGUUAAUUUCCAAAAUAGAAAAUCGUUUAAUUAACUAAAGCAGUAAAUGAAUGGAUAUCGGUUGCAGAUUAACUCUGUGACACAGGCGAUCAAGGUGAAAUGAAAGUUAAUGUGAGAGAACGUGCUGAAUCACACUAUUGGAUUACCAUAUUUUGGUGUGCCUUGGGUGCAAUUGUCAUAGCUGGUAUCGCUGUAAUAUCAUAUUGGAUACGACGAUGCAGGACAUUACUAGCAAUCUACCGCCAGUGCAAGCCGCCGACGAGGUCAUUGUCAACAACAGCUGCCGGCAGCAAGAGCAACUGCAGCAGCAAAAGCAACCUUUACUGUUGCCAACUCAUAUACAGCCUCCUGCGCAGCUGUUGCUUACUGAACAAAAACAACAAAAACAACAGCAGCAACAAUCGUGCAAAUCCACAUACUCUACUUCCACCACCAACAAUCCCAACACCACUGGCACCACCACCACUCCCACCUCACCCCAACCAACAAUUAACCCAACGAAAUCCAUUAACACACCCAUAUCCGGUGGCAGCAACCCCUUUACCCAUACACCAGCGCCACUACCACUACGACAGCAAAAUCAAAAAGUUAUCACAAGAUCACAAUCAUCUAAAGUUAUACAAGAGUUGCAGCAAUUGCACCACAAUAACAACAACUAUCAACAACAACAACCACAUUCGCACUCUAUCCACCAACUAAAGCAACAGCAAUCACUGCCGGCCACCCUACAUCCACCGCAAACGGUUAACGGCAGCCAUCAUCCGCCACCCUCCAAGUCCGUCUCGAUACUCGUGUAUAAAACAUUGAAUACGGUCUUCAAGAGCAGUCGCAAGAUCAUUGUGCGCGUUUGUGAGGUUGCCAGCGCGAAAAAAUCAUUCACAAUGUUUAAAUUCAAUAAAGCGGCCGCGCAAAAUCGCGCUGAAAAUCGGGCGAACGCCUGCACCGGACACGAUCAGUUUGUCCGACCACCAGUGCCCGAGAAGAAAGUUAAACACAUAAUGAAGAAAUUACACAAACAAAAUGGACUGAAACGCUCCAAUUCAGCGAUCGAAUUUGACGUAUCCGCGCUCACAGCCGCCAAUCGUCGGCACAUCUACAGCAGCAAUCGAUCAGCCAGUUCGGAACAAGAUAAUUCAGAUCAAUCCGAGCACUCGGAAAAAUCACCAUUGGUUAGCGCGAGGUUAGACAAUCUAGCUAGGCUAUUUUUUAGCAAAUCGAUGCCAGCGGAAACCGGAAGUAGAGAUACCAUAGAUUCUGUGCUAACGACAAGGCCAAAUCUGAAAUAUCAAUACUCGGCGCUGGAUAGCGGCAAUGGCAUUGUGGAGCGCAGUCCACGUGAGCGUGCCCAACGUGAGCGGGCACUUAACGCAUUGCAGGAGUGGGUGCAGAAUUCGAAUGGUCGUUACGAGAUAAUCGCACAUUUGGACGAAAUUGGCUCACGUCAUGGCAAGAAUUGGUUUCUCGUGACCGAUGCGACGGUACGCACGGAUCGUCUACUGACACUAUUGCCACUCCCACCGGACUGUGUCGCUUUCGAGGAUUUGCCCGCCAAUGAGAAUCCGAAGCCGAUGCUAAUGGAAUUACUCGGCUCACUGCAUCAUCCUUAUAUAUAUCCGAUAUUGGAUUUGGGUUUUCUGCAGCUUGGCUCAAGCAAUUUUGCCUGUCUGGUGACGCCAUUCAAUUCACGUGGUAGCUUAAAGGAUUUAAUUUAUAGGGCGCAAUGGAACGAACCAUGGGCACGCAAAUAUACACGCAAACCUAACGGUUUGCCCGUCUCACAAGUUCAGCGGCUGGGUCGACAAAUCUUGGAGGCGUUGCUGUUUCUGAAAGAGCGCGGCUUCCCACUGCACGGACAUUUGCAUAGUGGAAAUGUGAUUCUACAAAAUGGCGCCGCCAGACUGUCCGGCCUCGAGAACGGCCUGCUCGGCCUUAGUUCGCGCAUAAACGCUGUCAUGUGGUCGCGCAGUACAACGGAAAUCGAAAAUGUCGAUAUCAUUUGCUUCGGUCAUUUGUUAUAUGAAAUGUGUACCGGUCAAGAAAUGACCACACCCAAACCGUCCAUGCGGGUGCUCGAAAUGGAAUUAGAGCAUUACCCACAGAUUUUAGAUGUACUUGGCUUAAUAUUCGAACCGCCAAGCGGUGUAUGCCCCUCCGUCGAAGACCUAGUCUUAUGUGAUCUCUUCAGAAGCAUCGAUUUGCGUGAAUUACGUGGCCCUUGCUUUAGCACAAUCAAACCGAGCCUAAGCAGAUCCACUCUCAAUCUCUUGUAUGCCGUUAAGAAGCGACAAUGUGCAUCGCUCGGUAGUUCACUUAGCGAAAUGAGCUCACCGAGCACACCGCCAUCAACGCCACGUGACGGUCGACGCGGUACCUACUCGUACCUUCAUAACAACAACUGACAAAACAACCCAACAGCCUAUGUACCUCCACCUACCUACUACUAAUUAAAUCUUCUACUACUACUACUACUACUACUACUACAUAUAAAUUUAAUGUGCAAAUAUUAGUCGAAGUGCUAUAGUCGAACAAUGGACUCUUUCGAUAUAUCUAGCGACUCGGAGGAAGGAUUACUUGAUGAAAUUCUCGUCGAUGGCAAUUACCACCAACAACGCUUACAACAGCUGCAACGCAUGCAAAACUAUCACCAACGACAGCAUCAUUCCUAUCCGCAACACUAUUACGACCAGUUCACAACAUUAUCGCACCAACGCCAAUAUCACACCCAAAAUCAUCACUUCAGUGAGAACAAACCACUGGACUAUGACGCAAUUGAAUCAUCACCCCUACAUUAUUGUGAGAAUACCACCACCCAAUCCGAUGACAAUAUCUAUAGUACUCAAGAAAAUCAAAAGUCAACACAACAGUCACGACAACAACAAAGGUACAUAGAGUCACCGUCUUCUCCGCCACCUCCAACACAUUUGCCAACAAUACGUUGUAGCUCCAGCAAUAAUUUGAAUGCACCAACAUUGGGUUCAAGUGUUGGUCGCUCAUCGGGUAGUAGCACAAGUAUUGCUUCAACAACCGCCGGUGCUGUUGCAGCCGCAACGCCAGCUGCAGCCUUUAUUGUAGAAGAAGAUAAGAGCAUCGGCAAAAAUGCAACAAUACAGUCAGGUCAAUUGGAGCUUGAAGCUGAUGACAGUACAUCAAACAAUGACAGCCCGGCUAGCAGUGAUUCAUCAGCGCACCAAGUUGACGCAAAUAGCCAAAGUCAUGUGAACGAUGAUGCAAAAGCAUCGACGUCAGCAGCGGCUGCCGCAACAAAUGGUGUUACCGCCGGUGGUUCAUUCAACCACCAACUAACGACUGAUAUGUGCAACUAUAAGAAUUCGAAGAGUCGUCGACUCGAAUACUCACUCAAGUGUUUGAAAUAUGGACGCAGUAAUCCUUCGCAAGAUUCAGCUUUUGGAUCGCUAACCGACAAUGAUCUUUCGGUUGGUUCGUCCAGUUUUCGCAUAAGUAGUUUUCAGUCGAUAUCUUCGCCGAUUGAUGAGGGUGUAGAGGAUAUUAUAAUAGCAACAACAACAGGUGGAAAGGAAACUUGUUUAGAAUUAGCCACUAUACCGAGAAGUAUGGUUUCGCAAGAUUCAGCCAUAUCAUCACCUUGUCGUGAAACGUCGCCAAGUAACUUUUUAAACAUAGACGAUUGCAUGUCCGGCUCAUAUUCGGGCGCAUCCACUUCGUCCGGCUCUACAGGCAACAUACGUCCACAACAAUUUCCCGUCUCGCUUUCGCCUAAAAUACUCGUCACUGCCACUACUAACUCUAGCAAUUCGUCACUAUCCUCGUCUAGCGCCGCACUACCACAAGCACAACAAUUCGACCCACCCAAGAUUCUAGUUAACGAUCAAAACUCUAUUUAUACAACUUUACCAUCGAAACGUAUCGGUACAAUUGAGGUAUUCUCACAAAAAUAUCGCGUCAGUUCGUUUGAGGAUAUGUCACCAAAUAAGCGCUCAUCCGCGGAUAAGCUCUUAAAGAAUGUUAAUCGCAUGGCAUUUCGUUCACUCGAAGAGGAGCGUCGCAUUGAUAGUGCUUUUAUGCCGAUUGCGGAUCGCACAAACUCUGAAAAUCGCGUCAAUAUGCAGCGAGAUGAGAAAUACAAGAAACUUACACAUGCCUCGUUCCGCAUCAGCAAGACGUCAAGUCAGGUAGUAGUCUACGACAACACGCCCAAUCAAAUGACGAGCACGUCACCAAUGAGCAAUAAAAGCAUCAUAGCCAGUGUUGAGAUGCAGCGUCCAGCUACGGCAUCGGGUUCGGUUAGCACGCGUCAAACAAUGUGGCGUGAUAGUAAGUUUUAUCGGAAAAAUCGCAUAGCUAAAUCCAAUGACUCGCUGUUGGAAACAUCACCCAAUCACUCGGCGCGUCUGUCACCGUCUUCGUUGCGCGACAAUCACUACGACAGCAGUUCCUCUUACGGCAGUCGCAGCCAAAGUCGACAAUCGUUAAACCGUGGUAGUUCCAUUAAUGAAAUAUCUGGACUGAAUCAGGCAUUCGGUGGUGGCGGCGCUGGUGGUGCUCAAGGUUUGGCAGUGACCACCAGCUUUUGUGGCAAUGCUAGCGUAAGCGGUGCUGGGCGUCGCUACUGCAGUUCGAAGAGUGAAGAUCUUGGUGAUACAAAUGAUUAUUUACGUGUUAUGGAUGCGCGAAAAUCAUAUUCGGAGCGACAUCUGGUUACACUAACGAAACUGAAACAAACAGCAAUCAAUAAUACAAUGAGCGGAAGUGAGCAAUGCUGCUUCUCCGAGGACGAAAUGAGCUUCUAUGAUGACAAUAAUGUUUACGGUUAUAUGUAUUAUAAUGAAAAACAACAGCAACAGCAACAACAUCAUCACACUCACCAACACGCGAAACAGCAGCAGCGACAGCAGCAGCAACAAUCUCAACAAGCGCAACAGCGCCGUACACACUACAAUUCACACCCGACAGCAAAACAAGCAAAACCACAACAACAAAUGCAACACAAUCACCAACAACAGCAGAAAUAUCAGCAGCAACAACAACAGUCUAAACGUGCGAACCCAAAUCAACUUAGCUGGAGCAGUUGCUCCAUAAAUCGCCUCCGCACAACCAAUAUAAAGACCACCUCAUUGGCUACACUAUCCUGCCAUCAAAAUUUUACCUCCACCGCUACAGCACAAUCCCCCUCGUCCAACGCUUCCAACACUACUGCUGUCGGCACGAUAGACGCAUUGCCACAUGUCUCACGCAGCGCUAUUUUCAAGUCGGUUGAUCACUUUGUCAACUUUACAGAUAAGAGCUGCAGCAACGAUGGUGCUACUGGCAGUGGCGGCAGCGGCAGUAGCAACGGCACAGCCACCGACGACAACAGUUCCCCCGACGAUUCGCCAACACACCAGACGCUGAGCGGCGCCGAACUCUCAAAGAUUUUCGCAAUGCACGACGCACAAAGCAGCCAGUGCAGUGAGGAGAAGACCCCGCUGCUAGACAGCGUUGAGAUGUCGCCAAUCAGUCCAACUGAGGCGGAGGAUUCGACCAACGGCGAAAAAAUGUGAUAUACUAAAUUUCAGUAAAUACACACACACACACUCUAAACAAAUAAAUCACGAAUAACUAAAAAUAAAUAAAAUAUAUAAUAUAAAAGUAAACUCAAGCGAAAUUUGCUUAGAAAACUGUAACGGUAACGGUGCUUUGCGCGCAAUAACAAAGUGCAUGCAUGAAAGUUGCAAGGAUUGUCGACUUUUUUUAAAAAUAUAUUGAAGUUAAGCAAUGUUUCUCUUUCAUGAUAAAAAAAUUAUUUAUUUUAUUACACACAUUUAAUUAAAUAAAAAUUUAAAUAAUAUUUCCUUGCGAUACUGUACACACCUUUACAAAUUUAUGUACGAUUUAAAUAUACUCCAAGCAAGAAAAGCUAGACAUAUUUGUAUAAUGAAAGCAACAAAUUUUAUUUAAAAAUAUAACGGCAUAAAAAAUAUACAUAUAUAUAUUGCAAAUCUCAUUCAACUAUCUGCAUUACAACAGCAACUACCAUCCUUAUGAUAAUUUUAAGAAUUAAAUGAAAGCGUUACACUAAAUAUAUUUAUAUAGUUAUACGAGUAUAUAUAUGAAUUUAAGUAAGUCAUAUUUCGUAUGCUAAGACGUUACACAAUUUUAAAACAAAUAAAAACUUAAAUAAAUAAUAGCAAAUGAUUUAAAAAAUCUUAAAAAAAUAUAAUUAUACCGCAUAUACAAUAUGACGUAAUGUUUAGGGAAAACGUUAUUUGCUUGAAAAUUCUGACAAACCUAAUUUCUUAAGGUAGAGAAAAAUAAUAUAUACACCUAUACAUAUGUACAAAUAUAUGUAUAUACGAAUAUGCGAACUUUUAACUAAAUGAAAAUAUUAACUUUGCCGUAACAGCUAAACUUUUUGUGUCAUUUUGACAUCACCGAAAUUACUAGCAACGUUAAAAAUUCCCAAAAAAUAUAUGAAAAAAAAACUCAUAGAUAAUAUUUGUUGUACUAGUUGAAGUUAGUGAACAUUUGACUCAUAUACUAAACAGCAAACGCAUUGAGCUUUCAAAAAAAAAAUAAAUAAAUAAAUUUAAAUUUAAAUUUAAAUGCAUUGUGAAUUCUUUCUCAAUUUCUCAGCAUUUUUUCGGAAAGUUUAGAUGACGCCGCAAUUAGUGUUGAAUUUAGUUCUUUUACAUCUAAGGUAAAUGGUGUAAUUAUAGACGCACUUAGUGGUAGAUACAGACUUCGUAAAAUCUCAACUUAAUGGUAGUAAAUUAGCUUUAAAAUGCAUAUAUGUACUUAUAUGUAUGCAUAUGCUCUCAGCACAUUUAACUGAAAAUAAUAAAAGGAAAAACGAAAAAAAGGCCUCAAAAAGUUUUAUUUCAAGUUGCAUUACUAAAAAGUGGCGUACUUGAAGCGUUGCAUUAUAGCGUAGGUCAUAGUUGAAGCCAGAGAAACGAAAGUUAGUAGGCUGUUCUCGUAUAUGCAUAUGUAUUUAUUAUACGACAGAACAAAUGAGCGUUUUAUAUAUUAUUUUAGUGAUUAAAUUUAAAAAUAUAAUAAAAAAUAAAAAUAAAAAAAUAAAAAUAGAAAUAGAAAAAAAAUAAAUUAAUAAUAAAAAUAAAAUUAAAAAUUAAUUAAAAAUUAUUAGCACUUAAUGCUUAAUUUUUUUUUGUUAUGUAAGUAAAUAUUUUGCAAUAGAAAUAUAUAAUAUUUUGGAGUUCAACAAAAACUAUAUUGAAAAAUAGCAAAAAUCCAAAAAUAUUGCAAAUAAAAAACGUUUAGAGCGCAACAAAAAUGCGAAAAUUAAUAAACACAUAGUUAUUCAACAAAAUUACUCAACAAAAUGAACUUGUUACCUUAACGAUGUAAGCAAUCGAACAGUAACAUAAACGAUAUCACUAACUAA